rnacentral:rRNA from 1 species
GGAAUUUUUCGCAAUGGGGGAAACCCUGACGAAGCAACGCCGCGUGGAGGAUGAAGGUCUUCGGGUCGUAAACUCCUGUCGACCGGGACGAACGCAGUCGGGGCCAAUACCCCCGGCUGUCGACUGUCCCGGGGGAGGAAGCCACGGCUAACUCUGUGCCAGAAGCCCCGGCAAUACAGAGGUGGCAAGCGUUGUUCGGAAUUACUGGGCGUAAAGGGCGCGUAGGCGGUUCGUUAAGUCCUGUGUGAAAUCCCCCGGCUCAACUGGGGAACUGCACAGGAAACUAGCGGGCUUGAGUUCGGGAGAGGGAAGCGGAAUUCCGGGUGUAGCGGUGAAAUGCGUAGAUAUCCGGAGGAACACCGGUGGCGAAGGCGGCUUCCUGGACCGACACUGACGCUGAGGCGCGAAAGCUAGGGGAGCAAAC